GACGAACGCUGGCGGCGUGCUUAACACAUGCAAGUCGAACGGAAAGGCCCUGCUUGCAGGGUACUCGAGUGGCGAACGGGUGAGUAACACGUGGGUGAUCUGCCCUGCACUUCGGGAUAAGCCUGGGAAACUGGGUCUAAUACCGGAUAGGAGCCAUUUUUAGUGUGAUGGUUGGAAAGUUUUUUCGGUGUAGGAUGAGCUCGCGGCCUAUCAGCUUGUUGGUGGGGUAAUGGCCUACCAAGGCGGCGACGGGAAGCCGGCCUGAGAGGGUGGACGGCCACAUUGGGACUGAGAUACGGCCCAGACUCCGACGGGAGGCAGCAGGGGGGAAUAUUGCACAAUGGGCGCAAGCCUGAUGCAGCGACGCCGCGUGGGGGAGGACGGCCUUCGGGUUGGAAACUCCUUUCGCUAGGGACGAAGCUUUUUGUGACGGUACCUAGAGAAGAAGCACCGGCUAACUACGUG
rnacentral:rRNA from 1 species